GUCAUUGGGAUAAAUAUUUUUUCAUCGAAAUAUUAAUAAAUUUUAUGAAACCCAAAGGCGAAAUGAAAGUAAAAUAAUUUUUAUUUAUUUAUUUAUUUUUAUAAAUUUAAAAUUUGAGGGAGGAUAUAUUUUAAUUAUGUAUUAAAUAUCGCACUCCCAGGGCAUCUUAUAUUAUUUUUAUAAUUAUUUUAUAAUUUUUAUAAUAAAUAAAGGUGCACCUAGAGCGUACACGCUGGGACCCGAAAGAUGGUGAACUAUGCCUGGUCAGGACGAAGUCAGGGGAAACCCUGAUGGAGGUCCGUAGCGAUUCUGACGUGCAAAUCGAUCGUCGGAACUGGGUAUAG
rnacentral:rRNA from 1 species